ACCAAUUCUGGAGGAUUAAUUUGUUCCUCACGGUGUAAUGGCUUGGACGCCAGAUGAAUGUUGUAGUGAUCCUGAUAAAUGGUCUCUCAAUGCCAUUAUAUCCUGGAAACGCUUCAUACAAUU